rnacentral:rRNA from 1 species
GACGAACGCUGGCGGCGUGCUUAACACAUGCAAGUCGAACGGAAAGGCCCUGCUUUUGUGGGGUGCUCGAGUGGCGAACGGGUGAGUAACACGUGAGUAACCUGCCCUUGACUUUGGGAUAACUUCAGGAAACUGGGGCUAAUACCGGAUAGGCGCUCCUGCUGCAUGGUGGGGGUUGGAAAGUUUCGGCGGUUGGGGAUGGACUCGCGGCUUAUCAGCUUGUUUGUGGGGUAGUGGCUUACCAAGGCUUUGACGGGUAGCCGGCCUGAGAGGGUGACCGGCCACAUUGGGACUGAGAUACGGCCCAGACUCCUACGGGAGGCAGCAGUGGGGAAUAUUGCACAAUGGGCGGAAGCCUGAUGCAGCAACGCCGCGUGCGGGAUGACGGCCUUCGGGUUGUAAACCGCUUUCGCCUGUGACGAAGCGUGAGUGACGGUAAUGGGUAAAGAAGCACCGGCUAACUACGUG